rnacentral:misc_RNA from 1 species
CAAACCACGCGAAGAGCGCCAGGCAGUUAUUCUGGCUGCGCGCAUGCUGGCGGAGCAAGGAUGGUGCGACGUUCGCGUUUGCAAUAUCUCCUCACGCGGGAUGAUGCUUCGCUGCGCAUCUCCUCCACAGCGAAACAUGUUUGUAGAGAUCAGGCACCAGAAGGCAUGCGUCGUGGGACGAGUAGUGUGGGCCACUGGGACAGCUUUCGGGAUUAGAUCGCAAGAUUCGAUUCCCGUUGCAGAGUUGCUAUCGUGUCGUCCUCUCAAUGA